UUCGUUAUUAGGUUAUUUAUUAUUUUAUCUUAAUUAUUAUUAUGCUAUAUGGUAAUUUGAUGAAUUAUGUGAUUAUAAUUUAAAUCUCAUGUGAUAUAGAAUAAGAUUUAGAUAAAUAAGUUUGUUAGGUUUUUGUGUGAGUAAUUGAGAGUGGGGCCCAUUAGUAUGACUAUUUAAGGGAUAUGAGUGAAUUAGAAAGAGAGAAAUCAGAAUUUGAGAAUUGGAGAAGUUAGCAGAGGAGAAGAAAAGAAGCGUGAAAGAGAGAAGGGGAGAAAAGAGAAGAAAAAACCUAGAAUUUGAUCUUCAAGAGGUAAGGGUUUGAAUUUAUCUUGUAUAAUUGUAGAAUAACAGAGGUUGAGUUUAACAUGAAGGAACCCUCAUCUUUUUUGAAAAUUCAGAACUGAGAGACUGUGUUGAGUGUUAACAUGUGGUGAGAAAAAUUGAUUUUGAGCGAAAUUGAGGUUCCGGGGAAAAUUGGGUUCUGUUAUGUUUUGCCCGCAGAUACCCUAACAGUCUGUGUUGUAGAGAGCAUAACUCUCUCUACAGAAUUCCAAAUUGAGUGAAACCAAUUUUGUAUGAAAGCUAACUCAUAGGGCUAUGUUGGGUAAUAUUUUCAUAAUUUUUCGAUUGCUGGUUCAAUACCAGAAUCAUUUGCAAGUUUAUUCUGUUUCUGCCCGCAGACACCCUAGCAGCCUGUGUUAUAGAGAGCAUAACUCUCUCUACAGAAUUCCGAAUUGAGUGAAACCAAUUUUGUAUGAAAGCUAACUCAUAGGGAUAUAUUGGGUAAUAUUAUCAUAAUUUUUAGAUUGCUGGUUCAAUACCAGAAUUAUCUGCAAGUUCACUCUGUUUCUGCUCGCAGAAACCCUAACAGCCUGUGCUGUAGAGACCAUAACUCUCUCUACAGAAUUCCAAAUUGGGUGAAACCAAUUUUAUAUGAAAGCUAACGUAUAAGGCUAUGUUUGGUAAAAUUUUCAUAAUUUUUGGACUGCUCAUUUAGUACCAGGAUUAUAUGCAAGUUUGCUAUGUUUCUGCUUAUUUCUGAGAUUGAUUCUGAAACUGAUUCUAGUAAUUGAUAUGAGACAUUUGAUGAUUUUGUGUUGCUAUUUUGUCAGUGGAAUAGUGAAUGAUUUGAUAAUUGUAUUGAAGUGUUAUUUUGUGCAAUUUUGGUGUGAUUUCCGUUAUGGAAUUUGGUGAGAAAAUAUGUUAUAUAUUUGGGGCUGGAGUGGUCUCAAAAUUGCAUGUUUUAAUUUAUGAGUUUUUGCACGAAAUACACUUCAUUUAGUCAAGAGGCAACGUGUCGGUUUUCAUCGGAAAACUGAGGUUUGUCCCAGAACUGGCGUGGUUCUGGAAGUCUGGAGUGGACUUCAUUGGUGGUUAACUGUCUGGAGUGGACGCGGUGAUACCGCUAAGGUUAACAAUUGGUACCACAUGCAUACAUUAGAGUCUCACACACUAAGUUUCACGUUUUCAGUGGUUUUAUGUGUUUGGUGAUUUGUUGGUGAAUUGUUUUGCUGUUGUGGUAAAGUCGAAUUAUUAUUCUUCUUUAAGCUUAUAAUUUUUCGAAACAUUAAUAAGAAUUGUGAAACUGUCCUGAGAGAAAAUAUUAUAAUCACUCAGAUUUUAAAGUAAAGGUGAAGAGUUUAUAAAGUAGGAUCUGAAUUGUUUACUUGCUCUUUGUUAUGUUAUAUUUUAUACAAUGUAAGUUCUUACCCUUCUGUUGGAAUGAUGUUCUAUGCGACAUCGCUCAGGUACAGGAGGUAGAGAUGUGGCUCAUGAGGAGUAGCUUCGGAGAGUCUUAGCUUAUGUUAUUAUUAUUAUUAUUAUAAAAUAAGUGUCUUGCUCUGUAAUGUAACACUGGUUAGAUAUUUUACGUUACUUUUACAUUUAUGUUGAGAGGAUUUUAUAAUCUCUUCUUAUGGAAGUUGUUGAAUAAUUUUCUAAAUGAUGGCGAUGUCGUACUGUUGACGGCCGAAGUGCUUAUGAAAUUCAGUUCUGAGUAUGAUGAAUUUUAUUGGAAUAUCAUGGAAGAUAAACCUAUUUAAAUAAGUGAUUUUAUGCAUCUUAGGAUAUCUGACCGGUUUAGAAAUUUCAUUGGCAGGAAUAAUUCAUUCUUUAAAAAGCAUAUGAACUUAUAAAUUUUCAAACACAAUCAGUGUUAAUUUUAAUGAGUUUUCGUGAAGAAGUGUAAUACUCCCUUGAUAUGUUUUUAAACUCUGAUAAACGUUUUUAAAUAAAACAAUGGGAAAAAGGGGGUGUUACAUUAGUGGUAUCAGAGCAUGGUCGGUUAGUAGACUAGGUUUAUCAACAUGUUUAUUAACAUGUUUAAUUCCUUUUGUAUUCGAUAUGUGUCUAUGACACAAUCGAUAUUGUUUUGGUCAGUAGGAUAGAAGAAGUCCUACCCCGAGUUGUUCAUUUAAGGUAAUUUUCGAGGGCGAAAAUUCUUAAGUGGGGGAGAGUUGUAACACCCCACUUUUCGUUAUUAGGUUAUUUAUUAUUUUAUCUUAAUUAUUAUUAUGCUAUAUGGUAAUUUGAUGAAUUAUGUGAUUAUAAUUUAAAUCUCAUGUGAUAUAGAAUAAGAUUUAGAUAAAUAAGUUUGUUAGGUUUUUGUGUGAGUAAUUGAGAGUGGGGCCCAUUAGUAUGACUAUUUAAGGGAUAUGAGUGAAUUAGAAAGAGAGAAAUCAGAAUUUGAGAAUUGGAGAAGUUAGCAGAGGAGAAGAAAAGAAGCGUGAAAGAGAGAAGGGGAGAAAAGAGAAGAAAAAACCUAGAAUUUGAUCUUCAAGAGGUACAGGAGGUAGAGAUGUGGCUCAUGAGGAGUAGCUUCGGAGAGUCUUAGCUUAUGUUAUUAUUAUUAUUAUUAUAAUAUAAGUGUCUUGCUCUGUAAUGUAACACUGGUUAGAUAUUUUACGUUACUUUUACAUUUAUGUUGAGAGGAUUUUAUAAUCUCUUCUUAUGGAAGUUGUUGAAUAAUUUUCUAAAUGAUGGCGAUGUCGUACUGUUGACGGCCGAAGUGCUUAUGAAAUUCAGUUCUGAGUA